UAACCGGCGAUACCCGAAUGGGGAAACCCAGUGUGAUUCGUCACACUAUCAUUAACUGAAUCCAUAGGUUAAUGAGGCGAACCGGGGGAACUGAAACAUCUAAGUACCCCGAGGAAAAGAAAUCAACCGAGAUUCCCCCAGUAGCGGCGAGCGAACGGGGAGGAGCCCAGAGCCUGAAUCAGCAUGUGUGUUAGUGGAAGCGUCUGGAAAGGCGCGCGAUACAGGGUGACAGCCCCGUACACAAAAGCGCAUGUGCUGUGAGCUCGAUGAGUAGGGCGGGACACGUGGUAUCCUGUCUGAAUAUGGGGGGACCAUCCUCCAAGGCUAAAUACUCCUGACUGACCGAUAGUGAACCAGUACCGUGAGGGAAAGGCGAAAAGAACCCCGGCGAGGGGAGUGAAAAAGAACCUGAAACCGUGUACGUACAAGCAGUGGGAGCACCCUUUGGGUGUGACUGCGUACCUUUUGUAUAAUGGGUCAGCGACUUAUAUUCUGUAGCAAGGUUAACCGAAUAGGGGAGCCGGAGGGAAACCGAGUCUUAACCGGGCGUUAAGUUGCAGGGUAUAGACCCGAAACCCGGUGAUCUAGCCAUGGGCAGGUUGAAGGUUGGGUAACACUAACUGGAGGACCGAACCGACUAAUGUUGAAAAAUUAGCGGAUGACCUGUGGCUGGGGGUGAAAGGCCAAUCAAACCGGGAGAUAGCUGGUUCUCCCCGAAAGCUAUUUAGGUAGCGCCUCGUGAAUUCAUCUCCGGGGGUAGAGCACUGUUUCGGCUAGGGGGCCAUCCCGGCUUACCAACCCGAUGCAAACUGCGAAUACCGGAGAAUGUUAUCACGGGAGACACACGGCGGGUGCUAACGUCCGUCGUGAAGAGGGAAACAACCCAGACCGCCAGCUAAGGUCCCAAAGUCAUGGUUAAGUGGGAAACGAUGUGGGAAGGCCCAGACAGCCAGGAUGUUGGCUUAGAAGCAGCCAUCAUUUAAAGAAAGCGUAAUAGCUCACUGGUCGAGUCGGCCUGCGCGGAAGAUGUAACGGGGCUAAACCAUGCACCGAAGCUGCGGCAGCGACACUGUGUGUUGUUGGGUAGGGGAGCGUUCUGUAAGCCUGUGAAGGUGUGUCGUGAGGCAUGCUGGAGGUAUCAGAAGUGCGAAUGCUGACAUAAGUAACGAUAAAGCGGGUGAAAAGCCCGCUCGCCGGAAGACCAAGGGUUCCUGUCCAACGUUAAUCGGGGCAGGGUGAGUCGACCCCUAAGGCGAGGCCGAAAGGCGUAGUCGAUGGGAAACGGGUUAAUAUUCCCGUACUUGGUGUUACUGCGAAGGGGGGACGGAGAAGGCUAUGUUGGCCGGGCGACGGUUGUCCCGGUUUAAGCGUGUAGGUGUGUGUUCCAGGUAAAUCCGGUUCACUUUAACACUGAGGCGUGACGACGAGGCACUACGGUGCUGAAGCAACAAAUGCCCUGCUUCCAGGAAAA
rnacentral:rRNA from 1 species